rnacentral:miRNA from 1 species
AAAGUGCUAUUAAGUUGGAGUAU